GGUGCUAACGUCCGUCGUGAAGAGGGAAACAACCCAGACCGCCAGCUAAGGUCCCAAAGUCAUGGUUAAGUGGGAAACGAUGUGGGAAGGCCCAGACAGCCAGGAUGUUGGCUUAGAAGCAGCCAUCAUUUAAAGAAAGCGUAAUAGCUCACUGGUCGAGUCGGCCUGCGCGGAAGAUGUAACGGGGCUAAACCAUGCACCGAAGCUGCGGCAGCGACACUGUGUGUUGUUGGGUAGGGGAGCGUUCUGUAAGCCUGUGAAGGUGUGUCGUGAGGCAUGCUGGAGGUAUCAGAAGUGCGAAUGCUGACAUAAGUAACGAUAAAGCGGGUGAAAAGCCCGCUCGCCGGAAGACCAAGGGUUCCUGUCCAACGUUAAUCGGGGCAGGGUGAGUCGACCCCUAAGGCGAGGCCGAAAGGCGUAGUCGAUGGGAAACGGGUUAAUAUUCCCGUACUUGGUGUUACUGCGAAGGGGGGACGGAGAAGGCUAUGUUGGCCGGGCGACGGUUGUCCCGGUUUAAGCGUGUAGGUGUGUGUUCCAGGUAAAUCCGGUUCACUUUAACACUGAGGCGUGACGACGAGGCACUACGGUGCUGAAGCAACAAAUGCCCUGCUUCCAGGAAAAGCCUCUAAGCAUCAGGUAACAUCAAAUCGUACCCCAAACCGACACAGGUGGUCAGGUAGAGAAUACCAAGGCGCUUGAGAGAACUCGGGUGAAGGAACUAGGCAAAAUGGUGCCGUAACUUCGGGAGAAGGCACGCUGACACGUAGGUGAAGUGAUUUACUCAUGGAGCUGAAGUCAGUCGAAGAUACCAGCUGGCUGCAACUGUUUAUUAAAAACACAGCACUGUGCAAACACGAAAGUGGACGUAUACGGUGUGACGCCUGCCCGGUGCCGGAAGGUUAAUUGAUGGGGUCAGCGCAAGCGAAGCUCCUGAUCGAAGCCCCGGUAAACGGCGGCCGUAACUAUAACGGUCCUAAGGUAGCGAAAUUCCUUGUCGGGUAAGUUCCGACCUGCACGAAUGGCGUAAUGAUGGCCAGGCUGUCUCCACCCGAGACUCAGUGAAAUUGAACUCGCUGUGAAGAUGCAGUGUACCCGCGGCAAGACGGAAAGACCCCGUGAACCUUUACUAUAGCUUGACACUGAACAUUGAGCCUUGAUGUGUAGGAUAGGUGGGAG
rnacentral:rRNA from 1 species